rnacentral:rRNA from 1 species
CCUACGGGUGGCAGCAGUGAGGAAUAUUGGUCAAUGGACGAGAGUCUGAACCAGCCAAGUAGCGUGAAGGAUGACGGCCCGAUGGGUUGUAAACUUCUUUUAUAAAGGAAUAAAACGAGGCACGUGUGCCGUUUUGCAUGUACUUUAUGAAUAAGGAUCGGCUAACUCCGUGCCAGCAGCCGCGGUAAUACGGAGGAUCCGAGCGUUAUCCGGAUUUAUUGGGUUUAAAGGGAGCGUAGAUGGGUUGUUAAGUCCGUUGUGAAAGUUUGCGGCUCAACCGUAAAAUUGCAAUUGAUACUGGCAGUCUUGAGUACAGUUGAGGUAGGCGGAAUUCGUGGUGUAGCGGUGACAUGCUUAGAUAUCACGAAGAACCCCGAUUGCGAAGGCAGCUUACUAAACUGUGACUGACAUUGAUGCUCGAAAGUGUGGGUAUCAAACAGGAUUAGAUACCCUUGUAGUC